UUUUCUUUAGUAUAAUAAGUAUAUUUAACUUCCAAUUAAAAGGUUUUAUGUAAAGAAAAA
rnacentral:tRNA from 1 species